UACACGCUGGCGGCGUGCCUAACACAUGCAAGUCGAACGCGAAAGGGGAGCAAUCCCUGAGUAGAGUGGCAAACGGGUGAGUAACACGUGGGUGACCUGCCUUCGAGUGGGGGAUAACCUUCCGAAAGGAGGGCUAAUACCGCAUGACAUACCGUGUUUGGAUACAUGGAUAUCAAAGCCGGGGUAUCGCAAGACCUGGCGCUUGAAGUAGGGGCCCGCGUCCGAUUAGCUAGUUGGUGGGGUAACGGCUCACCAAGGCUCCGAUCGGUAUCCGGCCUGAGAGGGCGGACGGACACACUGGAACUGAGACACGGUCCAGACUCCUACGGGAGGCAGCAGUGGGGAAUUGUUCGCAAUGGGCGAAAGCCUGACGACGCAACGCCGCGUGGAGGAUGAAGAAUUUCGGUUCGUAAACUCCUUUCGACCGAGAUGAAUACUCACGGACCUAACACGUCCGUGGGCUGACAGUUUUCGAGAGAAGAAGCCCCGGCUUAACUCUGUGCCCAGCANNCCACGGGUNAAUACACGGGGGGGCCAAGCGUUUUGUUUCCCNAAAUNAC
rnacentral:rRNA from 1 species